rnacentral:rRNA from 1 species
CAGUGGCGAAGGCGGCUCACUGGCUCGAUACUGACGCUGAGGUGCGAAAGCGCGGGGAGCAAACAGGAUUAGAUACCCUGGUAGUCCGCGCCGUAAACGAUGAAUGCCAGACGUCGGGCAGCAUGCUGUUCGGUGUCACACCUAACGGAUUAAGCAUUCCGCCUGGGGAGUACGGCCGCAAGGUUAAAACUCAAAGGAAUUGACGGGGGCCCGCACAAGCGGUGGAGCAUGUGGUUUAAUUYGAAGCAACGCGCAGAACCUUACCAACCCUUGACAUGUGGAUYGUAGUUCCGAGAGAUCGGUUYGUCAGUUYGGCUGGAUCCAACACAGGUGCUGCAUGGCUGUCGUCAGCUYGUGUCGUGAGAUGUUYGGUUAAGUCCGGCAACGAGCGCAACCCACACCCUUAGUUGCCAGCAGUUYGGCUGGGCACUCUAGGGGAACUGCCCGUGAUAAGCGGGAGGAAGGUGUGGAUGACGUCAAGUCCUCAUGGCCCUUACGGGUUGGGCUACACACGUGCUACAAUGGCAUCUACAGAGGGUUAAUCCCAAAAAGAUGUCUCAGUUYGGAUUGUCGUCUGCAACUYGACGGCAUGAAGUCGGAAUCGCUAGUAAUCGUGGAACAGCAUGCCACGGUGAAUACGUUCCCGGGCCUUGUACACACCGCCCGUAAUCCCGCGGCC